rnacentral:rRNA from 1 species
AGGAUGAACGCUGGCGGCGUGCUUAACACAUGCAAGUCGAACGAUGAACCUCACUUGUGGGGGAUUAGUGGCGAACGGGUGAGUAACACGUGAGUAACCUGCCCUUAACUCUGGGAUAAGCCUGGGAAAACUGGGUCUAAUACUGGAUAUUGACUUUACCUCGCAUGGGGUUUUGUUGAAAGCUUUAGUGGUUUUGGAUGGACUCGCGGCCUAUCAGCUUGUUGGUGAGGUAAUGGCUCACCAAGGCGACGACGGGUAGCCGGCCUGAGAGGGUGACCGGCCACACUGGGACUGAGACACGGCCCAGACUCCUACGGGAGGCAGCAGUGAGGAAUUUUCCGCAAUGGGCGAAAGCCUGACGGAGCAAUGCCGCGUGGAGGAUGAAAGCCUAUGGGUUGUAAACUCCUUUUAUCAGAGAAGAAUAUUGACAGUAUCUGGGAAUAGCAUCGGCUAACUCCGUGCCAGCAGCCGC